rnacentral:rRNA from 1 species
ACGAACGCUGGCGGCGUGGAUAAGACAUGCAAGUCGAACGAGAGAAUUGCUAGCUUGCUAAUAAUUCUCUAGUGGCGCACGGGUGAGUAACGCGUGAGUAACCUGCCCCCGAGAGCGGGAUAGCCCUGGGAAACUGGGAUUAAUACCGCAUAGUAUCGAAAGAUUAAAGCAGCAAUGCGCUUGGGGAUGGGCUCGCGGCCUAUUAGUUAGUUGGUGAGGUAACGGCUCACCAAGGCGAUGACGGGUAGCCGGUCUGAGAGGAUGUCCGGCCACACUGGAACUGAGACACGGUCCAGACACCUACGGGUGGCAGCAGUCGAGAAUCAUUCACAAUGGGGGAAACCCUGAUGGUGCGACGCCGCGUGGGGGAAUGAAGGUCUUCGGAUUGUAAACCCCUGUCAUGUGGGAGCAAAUUAAAAAGAUAGUACCACAAGAGGAAGAGACGGCUAACUCUGUGCCAGCAGCCGCGGUAAUACAGAGGUCUCAAGCGUUGUUCGGAAUCACUGGGCGUAAAGCGUGCGUAGGCUGUUUCGUAAGUCGUGUGUGAAAGGCGCGGGCUCAACCCGCGGACGGCACAUGAUACUGCGAGACUAGAGUAAUGGAGGGGGAACCGGAAUUCUCGGUGUAGCAGUGAAAUGCGUAGAUAUCGAGAGGAACACUCGUGGCGAAGGCGGGUUCCUGGACAUUAACUGACGCUGAGGCACGAAGGCCAGGGGAGCGAAAGGGAUUAGAUACCCCUGUAGUCCUGGCAGUAAACGGUGCACGCUUGGUGUGCGGGGAAUCGACCCCCUGCGUGCCGGAGCUAACGCGUUAAGCGUGCCGCCUGGGGAGUACGGUCGCAAGAUUAAAACUCAAAGAAAUUGACGGGGACCCGCACAAGCGGUGGAGUAUGUGGCUUAAUUCGAUGCAACGCGAAGAACCUUACCUGGGCUUGACAUGUAAUGAACAACAUGUGAAAGCAUGCGACUCUUCGGAGGCGUUACACAGGUGCUGCAUGGCCGUCGUCAGCUCGUGUCGUGAGAUGUUUGGUUAAGUCCAGCAACGAGCGCAACCCCUGUUGCCAGUUACCAGCACGUGAAGGUGGGGACUCUGGCGAGACUGCCCAGAUCAACUGGGAGGAAGGUGGGGACGACGUCAGGUCAGUAUGGCCCUUAUGCCCAGGGCUGCACACGUACUACAAUGCCCAGUACAGAGGGGGCCGAAGCCGCGAGGCGGAGGAAAUCCUGAAAACUGGGCCCAGUUCGGACUGUAGGCUGCAACCCGCCUACACGAAGCCGGAAUCGCUAGUAAUGGCGCAUCAGCUACGGCGCCGUGAAUACGUUCCCGGGUCUUGUACACACCGCCCGUCACAUCAUGGAAGCCGGUCGCACCCGAAGUAUCUGAAGCCAACCGCAAGGAGGCAGGGUCCUAAGGUGAGACUGGUAACUGGGAUG